rnacentral:rRNA from 1 species
UAGAGUUUGAUCAUGGCUCAGAUUGAACGCUGGCGGCAGGCCUAACACAUGCAAGUCGAGCGGUAGAGAGAAGCUUGCUUCUCUUGAGAGCGGCGGACGGGUGAGUAAUGCCUAGGAAUCUGCCUGGUAGUGGGGGAUAACGUUCGGAAACGGACGCUAAUACCGCAUACGUCCUACGGGAGAAAGCAGGGGACCUUCGGGCCUUGCGCUAUCAGAUGAGCCUAGGUCGGAUUAGCUAGUUGGUGAGGUAAUGGCUCACCAAGGCGACGAUCCGUAACUGGUCUGAGAGGAUGAUCAGUCACACUGGAACUGAGACACGGUCCAGACUCCUACGGGAGGCAGCAGUGGGGAAUAUUGGACAAUGGGCGAAAGCCUGAUCCAGCCAUGCCGCGUGUGUGAAGAAGGUCUUCGGAUUGUAAAGCACUUUAAGUUGGGAGGAAGGGCAGUUACCUAAUACGUGAUUGUUUUGACGUACCGACAG